AGCAGUAGCCCGGGAAUACCGAGGAUGCAAGCGUUAAUCGGAAUUACUGGGCGUAAAGCGUGCGCAGGCGGUUAUAUAAGUCAGAUGUGAAAUCCUCGGGCUCAACCUGGGAACUGCAUUUGAGACUGUAUGGCUAGAGUGUGUCAGAGGGGGGUAGAAUUCCACGUGUAGCAGUGAAAUGCGUAGAUAUGUGGAGGAAUACCGAUGGCGAAGGCAGCCCCCUGGGAUAACACUGACGCUCAUGCACGAAAGCGUGGGGAGCAAACAGGAUUAGAUACCCGCGUAGUCCAUGUCUCUUAUACA
rnacentral:rRNA from 1 species